rnacentral:lncRNA from 1 species
AUGGGGGUGUGGGCCAGGGCCCAGGGCAGCACGUGCGCCCGCCAGUCCUGCUGCGCUGGGCCGGGCUCAGCGGCCGCACUGCCUACUCGCCCAGGGGCCACAUCCUCAGGAGGCUCCACCGCCUCUGAAGGCGGCUCUCACCGGGGCAGCCCGAGCCGUGUCCCCACUGCCGGGCCCGCCCAGGGGUCCACCACUGCGGAGCGGGGCUCAGGCUGCUUCCAGAGCGGCUGCCGUGCCCGGCUCCAGGCACCGCUGCCCUUCUGCUCUGGGCGGGGAGAGAAGCGGAGGCCCUUUCUGCACACCCGAGGCCCCAGCUGCCCGCUGCGGGAGCCUCGUCCUGCUGGGCACCAGGCACUGGGCCUGGACCCUGUCCUCCCACAGCCCCGGCCCAGGAGGCAGCCCCUCACCCGCAUGCAUGCGCCUCCGGGCCCGGAGCCCCAGCCUAUGGGCCUGAUGGCCGGCCCUUCUGGCCACAGCGGGCCCGGCCGUGGCUUAGGCUGCCCCCAGCCUCAGAGGAAGCAGGGCCUCCUCCCCACGCUCUGCUGCAGGCCUUGCUCCUUGGCAGGGCCCUCUGCCGGCUCAGCCCUCUCCCCUUCCUGGCGCUGGGCAGAGGGCCCCCCGGCCCCCCACAUACACAAGUUCUCGGCUCGGCCGAGCACGUCCAGGCCACAGGACGGCUCCACAGGGGUCUGCGCUCAGCCACGCCGCCAGGCAGCGUCAAUUCCACAGGGUGGACGCCUCCAGAAACUGCCCACCAGGCCCAUGGGAGGUCACCCCAGCAACCUCCCACUCCUGCUCGUCCUCAGCAACUGCUUCACCUUCUCUGCUGAGGCCCCGACUCGGACUCAGAGGCACCGGGCUGAGGCCGCCCUCAAGCUGCUUUACAAGGAUCAUCUCCCUCCCUCACGGGGAAAGCACAGCAGGGAUGCGUGGAAAGAAUGUACCUACAGAUAUGUACAGACACAGUGCUGCACACACAGCGCUGUAAUUUUGUAUGUAGCAACCAUGUAA